rnacentral:ncRNA from 1 species
CCAAAUGCAGUGAAGGAUUCAGUAGGAGUGGGACCCAGCUUUCAGAGAGCCGGCGGGUGGUGCGAGCCGGCAGUUGACCUGACAUCCGAAUUACCGUCCGGAGCAGCGGAGGGGAAGAGGGAGAACCGGCCAUGGCACGGGUCCCUUGCGUAGCUUCCGAUCGGGCCGACCGCCCGUUAUCCAUGAUGAAGUGAAAGUCCGCCGCCGGACCUGUCAGGGAGACCCCUGUGCAGCCGGGAGGAGGGCUUUAAUUAGGGUGGUACCGCGAGCUGAGCCUUCUCGUCCCUUUG